rnacentral:rRNA from 1 species
UACGUAGGGGCCGAGCGUUGUCCGGAGUUAUUGGGCGUAAAGCGCGCGCAGGCGGCCUCGCGCGCCCGACGUGAAAGCCCCCGGCUUAACCGGGGAGGGUCGUUGGGGACGGCGGGGCUUGAGGGCGGGAGAGGGCGGUGGAAUUCCCGGUGUAGUGGUGAAAUGCGUAGAGAUCGGGAGGAACACCUGUGGCGAAGGCGGCCGUCUGGGCCGACCCUGACGCUGAGGCGCGAAGGCGUGGGGAGCGAACGGG